rnacentral:misc_RNA from 1 species
AUUUAAAGCCCACCUUAUCAAUUUUUCAUCUUCACUCUGUACUAUUAUUAGUGUAGCUAUACUUCUGGGAAGCAACUUCAAUCGUCUGCACUGUCACUUGGAUAUUAGAGUGUUGAAGGCUUGUGCCUGAGUUUUUUAAGUUUAUAAUCUUGAUAUUUAAAUGUUAUUAAUUGAUUUACUUAAUGCAAGUAUCCAUCUUAAAAUCUUCUUUUACAUGAAGCAUA